rnacentral:rRNA from 1 species
AGGACGAACGCUGGCGGCGUGCUUAAAACAUGCAAGUCGAACGGGAUCCAUCCUUCGGGAGAAGAUCUAGUGGCGAACGGGUGAGUAACACGUGAGCAACCUACCCCAGAGACUGGGAUAAGCGAGGGAAACUUCGUCUAAUACCGGAUACUCUCAUAGCGCUACUAACGCUAUGAGCAAAUGGUUUUUCGCUUUGGGAUGGGCUCGCGGCCUAUCAGCUUGUUGGUGGGUAAUGGCCUACCAAGGCAUCGACGGGUAGCUGGUCUGAGAGGAUGGUCAGCCACACUGGGACUGAGACACGGCCCAGACUCCGUACGGGAGCAGCAGUUAGGAAUCUGCGCAAUGGGACAAAGCCCGACGCAGCAACGCCGCGGUCGAGGGAUGGACGGCGUUUCGGGUUGUAAACCGUCGUUUACAGCAAGGAACGAAAGUGACGUACCU